GUACCACGGGAAGUUUCCUCAGGCCUCUUACAUGCCACCAAGACAUCUCGUACAGGAAAAUCUGUGGAAGUGCAGCUGAACAGUUCUACCCCAACCAGUGCCACCUGAAAAACUGCUGUUAUAGCAACCUUACCUGCUACCACCAUGCUAUUGAUGGUCCCCUACAACGUCGGAAUGCCGGGAUCAUUGCUGGACUCGCUGUCGCCAUUGUCAUCUUCAGUACGUUCAUCUUCUU